AACGAACGCUGGCGGCAGGCCUAACACAUGCAAGUCGAGCGCGCCCUUCGGGGUGAGCGGCGGACGGGUGAGUAACGCGUGGGAACGUGCCCUUCUCUGCGGAAUAGCCUCGGGAAACUGAGAGUAAUACCGCAUACGCCCUUUGGGGGAAAGAUUUAUCGGAGAAGGAUCGGCCCGCGUUGGAUUAGGUAGUUGGUGGGGUAAUGGCCCACCAAGCCGACGAUCCAUAGCUGGUUUGAGAGGAUGAUCAGCCACACUGGGACUGAGACACGGCCCAGACUCCUACGGGAGGCAGCAGUGGGGAAUCUUAGACAAUGGGGGCAACCCUGAUCUAGCCAUGCCGCGUGAGUGAUGAAGGCCUUAGGGUUGUAAAGCUCUUUCAGCUGGGAAGAUAAUGACGGUACCAGCAGAAGAAACCCCGGCUAACUCCGU
rnacentral:rRNA from 1 species